GGGUUGUGAGGUUAAGCGACUAAGCGUACACGGUGGAUGCCCUGGCAGUCAGAGGCGAUGAAGGACGUGCUAAUCUGCGAUAAGCGUCGGUAAGGUGAUAUGAACCGUUAUAACCGGCGAUUUCCGAAUGGGGAAACCCAGUGUGUUUCGACACACUAUCAUUAACUGAAUCCAUAGGUUAAUGAGGCGAACCGGGGGAACUGAAACAUCUAAGUACCCCGAGGAAAAGAAAUCAACCGAGAUUCCCCCAGUAGCGGCGAGCGAACGGGGAGGAGCCCAGAGCCUGAAUCAGUGUGUGUGUUAGUGGAAGCGUCUGGAAAGGCGCGCGAUACAGGGUGACAGCCCCGUACACAAAAAUGCACAUGCUGUGAGCUCGAUGAGUAGGGCGGGACACGUGGUAUCCUGUCUGAAUAUGGGGGGACCAUCCUCCAAGGCUAAAUACUCCUGACUGACCGAUAGUGAACCAGUACCGUGAGGGAAAGGCGAAAAGAACCCCGGCGAGGGGAGUGAAAAAGAACCUGAAACCGUGUACGUACAAGCAGUGGGAGCACGCUUCGGCGUGUGACUGCGUACCUUUUGUAUAAUGGGUCAGCGACUUAUAUUCUGUAGCAAGGUUAACCGAAUAGGGGAGCCGAAGGGAAACCGAGUCUUAACUGGGCGUUAAGUUGCAGGGUAUAGACCCGAAACCCGGUGAUCUAGCCAUGGGCAGGUUGAAGGUUGGGUAACACUAACUGGAGGACCGAACCGACUAAUGUUGAAAAAUUAGCGGAUGACUUGUGGCUGGGGGUGAAAGGCCAAUCAAACCGGGAGAUAGCUGGUUCUCCCCGAAAGCUAUUUAGGUAGCGCCUCGUGAAUUCAUCUCCGGGGGUAGAGCACUGUUUCGGCAAGGGGGUCAUCCCGACUUACCAACCCGAUGCAAACUGCGAAUACCGGAGAAUGUUAUCACGGGAGACACACGGCGGGUGCUAACGUCCGUCGUGAAGAGGGAAACAACCCAGACCGCCAGCUAAGGUCCCAAAGUCAUGGUUAAGUGGGAAACGAUGUGGGAAGGCCCAGACAGCCAGGAUGUUGGCUUAGAAGCAGCCAUCAUUUAAAGAAAGCGUAAUAGCUCACUGGUCGAGUCGGCCUGCGCGGAAGAUGUAACGGGGCUAAACCAUGCACCGAAGCUGCGGCAGCGACGCUGAUGCGUUGUUGGGUAGGGGAGCGUUCUGUAAGCCUGCGAAGGUGUGCUGUGAGGCAUGCUGGAGGUAUCAGAAGUGCGAAUGCUGACAUAAGUAACGAUAAAGCGGGUGAAAAGCCCGCUCGCCGGAAGACCAAGGGUUCCUGUCCAACGUUAAUCGGGGCAGGGUGAGUCGACCCCUAAGGCGAGGCCGAAAGGCGUAGUCGAUGGGAAACAGGUUAAUAUUCCUGUACUUGGUGUUACUGCGAAGGGGGGACGGAGAAGGCUAUGUUGGCCGGGCGACGGUUGUCCCGGUUUAAGCGUGUAGGCUGGUUUUCCAGGCAAAUCCGGAAAAUCAAGGCUGAGGCGUGAUGACGAGGCACUACGGUGCUGAAGCAACAAAUGCCCUGCUUCCAGGAAAAGCCUCUAAGCAUCAGGUAACAUCAAAUCGUACCCCAAACCGACACAGGUGGUCAGGUAGAGAAUACCAAGGCGCUUGAGAGAACUCGGGUGAAGGAACUAGGCAAAAUGGUGCCGUAACUUCGGGAGAAGGCACGCUGAUAUGUAGGUGAAGUCCCUUGCGGAUGGAGCUGAAAUCAGUCGAAGAUACCAGCUGGCUGCAACUGUUUAUUAAAAACACAGCACUGUGCAAACACGAAAGUGGACGUAUACGGUGUGACGCCUGCCCGGUGCCGGAAGGUUAAUUGAUGGGGUCAGCGCAAGCGAAGCUCUUGAUCGAAGCCCCGGUAAACGGCGGCCGUAACUAUAACGGUCCUAAGGUAGCGAAAUUCCUUGUCGGGUAAGUUCCGACCUGCACGAAUGGCGUAAUGAUGGCCAGGCUGUCUCCACCCGAGACUCAGUGAAAUUGAACUCGCUGUGAAGAUGCAGUGUACCCGCGGCAAGACGGAAAGACCCCGUGAACCUUUACUAUAGCUUGACACUGAACAUUGAGCCUUGAUGUGUAGGAUAGGUGGGAGGCUUUGAAGUGUGGACGCCAGUCUGCAUGGAGCCGACCUUGAAAUACCACCCUUUAAUGUUUGAUGUUCUAACGUUGACCCCUAAUCGGGGUUGCGGACAGUGUCUGGUGGGUAGUUUGACUGGGGCGGUCUCCUCCUAAAGAGUAACGGAGGAGCACGAAGGUUGGCUAAUCCUGGUCGGACAUCAGGAGGUUAGUGCAAUGGCAUAAGCCAGCUUGACUGCGAGCGUGACGGCGCGAGCAGGUGCGAAAGCAGGUCAUAGUGAUCCGGUGGUUCUGAAUGGAAGGGCCAUCGCUCAACGGAUAAAAGGUACUCCGGGGAUAACAGGCUGAUACCGCCCAAGAGUUCAUAUCGACGGCGGUGUUUGGCACCUCGAUGUCGGCUCAUCACAUCCUGGGGCUGAAGUAGGUCCCAAGGGUAUGGCUGUUCGCCAUUUAAAGUGGUACGCGAGCUGGGUUUAGAACGUCGUGAGACAGUUCGGUCCCUAUCUGCCGUGGGCGCUGGAGAACUGAGGGGGGCUGCUCCUAGUACGAGAGGACCGGAGUGGACGCAUCACUGGUGUUCGGGUUGUCAUGCCAAUGGCACUGCCCGGUAGCUAAAUGCGGAAGAGAUAAGUGCUGAAAGCAUCUAAGCACGAAACUUGCCCCGAGAUGAGUUCUCCCUGACUCCUUGAGAGUCCUGAAGGAACGUUGAAGACGACGACGUUGAUAGGCCGGGUGUGUAAGCGCAGCGAUGCGUUGAGCUAACCGGUACUAAUGAACCGUGAGGCUUAACCUUACAACGCCGAAGCUGUU
rnacentral:rRNA from 1 species